AUUGAACGCUGGCGGCAUGCCUUACACAUGCAAGUCGAGCGGCAGCGCGGGGGCAACCCUGGCGGCGAGCGGCGAACGGGUGAGUAAUACAUCGGAACGUGUCCAGUCGCGGGGGAUAACCUGUCGAAAGAUAGGCUAAUACCGCAUAAGACCUACGGGUGAAAGCGGGGGACUCGCGGGCAACUGCGGGCCUCGCACCACUGGUGCGGCCGGGGAGGGAUUAGCUAGUUGGCGGGGUAACGGCCCACCAAGGCGACGAUCCGUAGCUGGUCUGAGAGGACGACCAGCCACACUGGAACUGAGACACGGUCCAGACUCCUACGGGAGGCAGCAGUGGGGAAUUUUGGACAAUGGGCGCAAGCCUGAUCCAGCCAUGCCGCGUGAGUGAAGAAGGCCUUCGGGUUGUAAAGCUCUUUCGGCGGGGACGAAACGGUCCGUGACAACACCACGGACUAAUGACGGUACUCGCAGAAGAAGCACCGGCUAACUACGUGCCAGCAGCCGCCGUAA
rnacentral:rRNA from 1 species